rnacentral:rRNA from 1 species
UGGGGAAUAUUGGACAAUGGGGGAAACCCUGAUCCAGCAAUGCCGCGUGAGUGAAGAAGGCCUUAGGGUUGUAAAGCUCUUUCGCCCGCGAAGAUAAUGACGGUAGCGGGAGAAGAAGCCCCGGCUAACUCCGUGCCAGCAGCCGCGGUAAUACGGAGGGGGCCAGCGUUGUUCGGAAUUACUGGGCGUAAAGCGUACGUAGGCGGAUGCACAAGUUGGGGGUGAAAUCCCGGGGCUUAACCUCGGAAUUGCCCUCAAAACUGCACGUCUUGAGACCGAGAGAGGUAAGGGGAAUUCCUAGUGUAGAGGUGAAAUUCGUAGAUAUUAGGAAGAACACCAGUGGCGAAGGCGCCUUACUGGCUCGGUACUGACGCUGAGGUACGAAAGCGUGGGGAGCAAACA